CCUCUUUUUCUCCAGUGGGCUUGUCCCAGCUGCAGGGGCUGGUGAGGUGCCGGGCGCUCCCCAGGAGCGUGCGGAGCUGCCAGAGGACUAACCUGCGAUAAGCGCCACACUCCCUCCGCUAUCUUGAGCAGCUGGUAGCGGAUUCAUUUCCCUCCCGAGCACAGGGCUCGUUUCUGGUAGCUCUAAUGAGGAGGAAGGCAAAUCCAGCCUGACCCAAAUGCCCAGCUCCUGCAGGGCCCAGCAUCCCCGCUGGACCUCGGGGAGGGAUGGAUGUGCCUUCGCCCAUGCCUUGCUUGGCCUGGAGAGGCUGGCGGUGCCGAGCCAGCACGGCUCCAGCUGAUGUGUCUGCUCACAGAGCCUUUGUAGCUGCCUGGUGGGGACUUGUAACCAGAGAGCUCUCCCGUGGUCUGUUCCUAGGGGGGAUUUUGAGCUCUGUUGAUAAAAAUUCAGCAUCUUUCAUCCACACAGGCAGUGAUUAUGCUCCAGCUGGUGAGAAUCCCCUUGCCAGGGGAGCAGGAUCCACGCCCCACCACGACUGGGCAGAAAUCUUUCUUCUACUUAGUGAAUCUUUUGGUUUUCGUCCUGUUUCCAAGGGACAAUAAUCUGCAGAGUGUAAGAUCGCUCUCAGCUCCAAUUCGGUGGAGAAGGAUGAAGAGGAAAUGUAUCGCAGCUCCGUGCUUUGUUCUCCAAGCCCAGGCUGGAGUCCAGGCUGGCUUGGCUGAAACCGCCCGUGCAAAGCCUGCAGCUAGCAGCCUAUACCUGAACCCUGGUCUGGAGCACAAUGCAGCAGAUAAACAGUGGUUUUUCUGGAGGACUGGGCUCUGCAGCUCGGCCAGAGCGUGUAUUGAUCCUGCUAACAAAAGAAACACAUUUAGAACAAGACAAAACUAAGCAGCCCUUUGUAAAGCGAAAGCAGCUGGCUCAACUAAUUAAAUGUUAAAAAUUCCAGCAAGACGAGUGUACCAGAAAAAUAAACAGGCAUUGUAGCCAGGAUAGAAAGUGUUGGAAAUGAUCUAUGCACUUUCCUGUCUCUCUGCAUGCAUUUGUAUGGAUGCUGGUACCGGUGUAGCCACGCGUUCACAUGUCCCCGUUGAUGUGCGUUGGUGAGUGUGAGUUUCCAUAUUGAUCCCUGCAGUGGGAAACUGCAGGGAUGUGCACCCAUGCAUCAUCCAACGCCUUUCGUGUCUGUGUUCACGUAUGCAGCUGGCUAUACGGAUGAGUGGUUCUUGCCUUCCUGAGCUUGCAGCCAGGCUGCAGGUGUGUGGGUGCUGCGUGCCCCCCGGGGUGCCCACGCCGGUGGGGUGCUGCCUGCGAGGCACGUCUGUCUUGGUGGCGUGUGCCGGGAGGCAUUUCCAUUAGGCUUUAUUUAAUGGCUUGGGGGAGGGGGGUAAAUAUUUGUUGGCAGUGGUUUUGCAAAUCGCCACUUUGCAGGGAGGAAAUAAGAGCCAUCCAUUUGUGCUAGCACUAUUAAAGAUUUUCUAUAAAGUGCCUACAUUUCCAGUACAGCUGAAUGGAUUUCAUUGCAGAAAA